UCAGACGAUGCGUCAUGCAUAUCAAUAAGCGGAGGAAAAGAAACUAACAAGGAUUCCCCUAGUAACGGCGAGUGAAGCGGGAAGAGCUCAAAUUUGAAAUCUUAAAGGGUUUCCCUUUACGAAUUGUAGUUUAAAGAAGUGUUUUCUGUUGAGGUUUUGGUAAAAGUUCUUUGGAAUAGGAUAUCAUAGAGGGUGAGAAUCCCGUAUUUGACCUUUACUUUCAACUUUGUGAUACACUUUCAAAGAGUCGGAUUGUUUGGGAAUGCAGUCCAAAAUGGGUGGUAAAUUUCAUCUAAAGCUAAAUAUUGGCGAGAGACCGAUAGCGAACAAGUACCGUGAGGGAAAGAUGAAAAGAACUUUGAAAAGAGAGUUAAACAGUACGUGAAAUUGUCAAAAGGGAAGCGUUUGACACCAGUGUUGUUUUUCUGAAAAUCAAUUAAAGAACUGUUUAUGCUAAGUUGUUUAGACUUUAUCAGCUAUCUGUUUAGUUUUGAGCUUUUCUUUAAUGCACUUUUCAGUUAACAAGUCAACAUCAAUUUCUUUUGCUGUAAAAAAGCUUGAGGAAGGUGGCUUGAGAUUCGUCUUAAGUGUUUAUAGCCUCUUGCCUAUGCAGUCGGAGAGAUUGAGGUCUGCAGCGUAGAUCCUUCGGGGCUAAAUGCAUUUGUGCUAAGUUAUAGCAUUUCAUAGACAACUUGUUGACUAUGAUUUGUCUUGUAGCUUACUCGCUUAUGUUAUUUUACCUACGCUUAGGAUGUUGAAUCUGUGCGAGACUAC
rnacentral:rRNA from 1 species